GCAGUAAUUUGUUGGUUUUUCCAUCUCUACAAAAGUUGAUGCUAUUACAAACUCUCAAAUUUGAUACGAAGAAGAAGAUAUAUGUUUUACCAUGGAUGCCAAGAGAUGUUCUGGUCAAGCUGGAUUGUUUGCGGCAUCUGUAUUUGCCUAAAGUUCAAGUUAACCUUAUGGGAAGGGAAUCGAAAUUUCGAUUUAAUGGGUUGAGCAAGUUAGAGACACUGGAGAACUUUAACGCUAGUUGGUGUGAGGUUAAGGAUCUACGUGAACUAAUCAAUCUUCGGAAACUAACGCUAGCAGUGAUAGCUAGCUAUGAUAUUCUGGAGGAAAUGAUGAAAAACUUGGCUGAUAUAGCCUCAUCACCAUCUUCAUGUCUGAGGUACUUGGGUGUUACUAUUAGUCAUUGUCAUCUCGAGCUGAACAAUGGUCUUACGAUCUUAAAACAAUUGGUAUAUGCUGAAAAUUUGAACCUUCGGGAUUUGAAAAUAUAUGGCCCUAUCCCAGAGGUGGGUCUAAUAUUUCCGCUGCAUGUAUCUACAAUUCGUAUUACAAAAUUAACUUUAGCGAGAUCACACCUAGAAGAAGACCCAAUGCCAAUACUGGAAAUGCUUCCAAUGUUGGAUGUUCUCCAUAUGUGUACGGAUACCUAUGUGGGGAAGGAGAUGGUGUGCUCGGCAACCGGUUUUCCUAAACUCACCUAUCUUUUUUUGGACAGCUUCCCGAACCUUGAAAAAUGGAGGGUGGAGGAAGGAAGCAUGCCCAUCCUUUUAUACUUGUCUAUUGAAAGAUGUAACAAGUUGGAGGAGCUUCCACGAGGCCUGGUGUUCCUCAACUCCCUUCGAGUACUAAAAAUAUUUCAAAUGCCUCAAGAUUUCAAUGAUAGACUUAUAAGAGAAGAUGAAGAAGGACCCGACUUUCACAAAAUUUCUCACGUUCGUAGAGUCCGCAUCGACGAUCUGGUAUACGAUUUCUUAUAAGGGAUGUUCUUGUAGGUCGUAACGUUUUCUGUUAUAAUCCCAAAGAACAAAUUGCUUGAGUAGCAACUUAUCAAACAAUCUUAUAUAUACCUUUAUCUUCAAAAAAAAAAUCUUAAAUAUACCUUCAAAAUUUUAUAAUAUUUUAUUAAAAUUUUCAUUUUCAAUCAUAGUUUUGUAUGAUUAAUGUAGUUUUUAAUAUAAAAGAGUUAAAAAAUACUUUUACAUAUAACUGAAUCCAAUUUUCAAUAAUAGCGACUGUAAAAAAUAUACUAGCUUAUAACCCGUGCAAUGCACGGGCGGUUAUAAUAUGUGUUAUUAUAUUAUAUAUAUUUUAAAUUUAACUAAUUUUAUUUUGAAAAUUAAAUCAUGAUAUAAUAAUAUGAUUAAAUAAAUUUUUUAUUUAACAACUGAAUAAAUUGUUAGCAGUUAAGUCUUUCAAAUAGCUAAUUAAAAAUUAAGUCGAACAUAUAUAUUUUAAUGAAGAUGUUAAAAUAUAUAUUUUUAUAUGUUAUAAUUUAAUAAGACCUAUAAACCCAGAUAUAUAUCGACCAAUCAAUAUUUCGUUAUUAAUGAUUAAUAAUAUCGUAUAGAAUAUAUUAAUAAGUUAAAGAGACGCGUAAAUCCAAAUAUCGACCUAUCAUACUGACUAAUUUAUAAUAUGUUAUAAAUUAAAGAGGUUCGGGGUUGAAUACCAACCGGAUCGCCAAACUCGACCGACAAAUUGAACUUUUCUUAUUUCGACUAAUGUUUUACUUUUAAUAAUAUAGUAUAGAUAUAUAAUAAUAUUGUCUUUUUUAUAUGUAUGUUCCAUGUGUUAUAUAUGUUUAGAAAAAUCCGAUUUUAGUUAGGAAUGUGAAAAAGAUAAUGUCUUUUAGUUAAAAAGGGUAAUUGCUAUCUUGUCCAAUAUUAUUUUUAGAAAAUUGAGUUUUUUAAGUUAGAAAAUAUAAAAAAGAUAAUAGUAUUAGUUAAAAAAGAUGUUUGAUUAGAUAAAUAGGCUCAUAACUCAGCCCAAGUACCGACCGACCAAACUUUGAAUGUUUCGACUUCAAUAGUAUAGUAAUUUUGAAGUAUUAAUAUAAUUUUUAUAAGCCGCUGCAACGCGCGGCUUCUCAGCUAGUUAUUAUAAAUACAGGAUUCCUUAAACAACUUACAAUGGAAGAUGUAAUAGUUUUAUGAAAAUUAUUAUUAAUAUUAAAAUUAAAACACUAACUUUUAUUAUUUAAAAGUUAAACAACUGCAGGACUCUAAACCUUUAAAAUGUGAAUUAAAAAAAAGUUCACUUUUUUCAACAAAGAAGUUCUGUUGGUGUUGAAUCGAAUUUGAUUGCAAGUUGCCGGAAUUAAUUAAUAAUUACAAUCAUAUUUUCAUAAGACUUUUAAAAAGAUAGUAACUCCAAAAAAUUCUACAAAGAUGGUGUAUCCUUAAUUUUAUACUCUUGGGGCAAAACAAAGUUUUAUAUUCACAACAAGCUAUCAGUUCUAUACAAUUACAAUCAUCAUAUCUAUACUAUAUUAUUGAAACCGAAACAUUAAAAGUUUGGUCGGUCGGUAUUUGAGCCAAAAUACGAGUUUAUCAGUUAUUUUUUAACUAAAAUAUAUCUUCUUUUUAAUAUUUUCUAAAUAAAAAAACUCAAACUUUCAAAAUAACAUCGAGCAACAUAGUAAUUACCUUUUUAACUAAAACAAUUAUCAUUUUUAGAUUUUCUAACUAAAAAGCCGAGCUUCUAUUAUUAACACGGGCUACAUUAACAUUAUUUUAAAAUACUUUAACGGUCUCACUUUAAAAGUAAUAUUAUAAAUCUAUAUUAUACCAUUAAAGCCGAAACAUGAAAAGUUCGGUCGGUCAAUUGUUCGGCCGGUCACUCGAGUUUAGUGAGCCUGUUAGUAUUCGACCCAUAAACAUCUUUAAUUAAUAAAAUAUUAUAAUAUUAAAAACACUCAAUUUCCUAAAAAUAAUAUUAGAUUAUGAAUAACAUAGCAACUACUUUUUAUGAUUAAAACACAUUAUCAUUUUCAUAUUCGUAAUCAAAAAAUCGUUUUUUUAAAAAUAACACAUGCAAUAUACAUAUAAAAAGAUAAUAUUAUUAUAUAUAAUUAUUAAUAUACAACCGAUGAUAUUUUUCAAUAAAAUGCAUUAAUGCUGUUUUUAAUUACUCCAUGUUAUCAUUUCAAAAUAAUAUCAUAGAUCUAUACUAUCUAUUUAUACCCUACUAUGCUAUAUUAUUAUUAUUAUUAUUAUUAUUAUUAUUAUUAUUAUUAUUAUUAUUAUUAUUAUUAUUAUUAUUAUUAUUAUUAUUCUUUUAAAAUUGAAAAAUUAAUAAUUUUAUCGGUCGGUAGAGUUUUAUCAGCCGCUCGUAUUAUUCUACGGGCCUCCUUGAUAUAUAACGUGUUCUAAUAAACUUUUUAUUAUCAAUUAAGUCAAAAAAUAUAAAAAUUCGGUUAGUAUGAUCGAUUUCUGUUUCAAUUAAAUUUAUGAUUUAAACGAUAAAAUUAUAAAUAUUAUAAAUCAACCGUGCAUGGAACGGGUUAUAAACUAGUAUUAAUUAUUAUGAUAGAAUAGUUAUUAUAUUUUAAUAUUGGUCCUGAGAGAUGAAAUUUUUUAUGAAUUUAGAAAAUUAAUCACUUUACAGAAUAUUAAUUUAUAGAAAUUUUACUAUAUUAGGUGUUGAUUUUCUUAUGUUAGAAUAUUAUUUAAUAAACAAGUAGGAUAAUUUAUAAGGAUUGUAUUGGAUUAGGUGCUGAAUUUCUUAUUUUAAUUAUUAUUUAAUAGGUAGGUAGCGUUAUUUGUCGUGGAUGAAAGUGACACAAAUAUUGAUAUGAGUCAUUUUAUAAUUGUUUAGUAAUAUACCGUAGAAUUCCGCCAGCUAAUCGGUUGUUAAACUUUGCUUUUACAUGCCCAUCGUUUAGUAUACAAUGAAUCAAUGAUUGUCAUUUAUUUAGGAAUUAAAUAAUGAAUAACUCACACUUGUUCGGUUUAAUCUCAAAUUAGGGUUUUUCUCAAAAAAAAAAAAAAAAAUCUCAAAUUAGGGUUUUGAGAGUCGACUCCCAAAACUGGUAGUCACUUCUCCAUUCUUCACCUUCAUCCUCUUCAUCCACCAAAUCCUUUUCGCUCUCCCAUCUUAUUCACUAUUUAUCAGGUUUUUUGUUUUUCAAUAAAAGCGAGUGUUGCUUAUACCUCGAAGAUUCCAAUCGAGUUUUAUUCUCGGAUCUGUUUCGGAUUUGAGCUUGGGCUUGAUUGUUUUCUGAAUAAAUCAGAUCUUUUGAAAUCAAAGGUCCGAUCAUGUUUUCCCAUCUCGCCUUUUGGCGUGUGUUGAUUUAGUACCCAAUUUUUGGGUGAUUCUGCGUUGUUACACUUGUGGUUGUUAUGUUUUUCUGUGUUAUCAGUGAGAAUGAUUUGGAUGGAGUUUUGGGAGAUCUAACUUAUCGCAUCAUUAAUACUUUCGGCAUGUCUAUAGCUGGCUCCCGGCAUGUAGAUAGCUGGGGUAUGCUUGGAACGGUGGCGAUCGCAUGUGCUCACCUUUCACAAAUUAUAGUUGUUCAUUAUUCGAGGACUCUUGUUACUCAUUGCUUAGUUUUUACAACUGAGUCGCCUGAACACCGUAACAGCCAUGGAACUAUUGUGAAGGUCAAUUGUGAAGCUACCAUUUUCGCGAUUGAUGUAGGCUGGAUUACUCGAGCCUUUGUAUUCAUUUUUAGUUUCAAUGUAUCCAGUGUGUUAAGCAGUCUGGAAACAAUGCGGCUAUUUGUUUAGCUCGUUUUAUUGUUUAUCAACCUGAUUGCAUUGUCUGUUGGAGAUUUGUCCCGACUAGACUUGUUUUAAUUUAUUGAAAUGAAUUUGCAUUUUGUCAAAAAUAAAUAAAUAAUGAAUAACUCCAUAUACAGGAGUAGGUUAAUAGUAGUAUUAUUCUGUUGAUUCCAUGCAGUUCAACUAUCAGGAAUGUUUGUUUACGAGAAGCUGGGGUUUGCUUCUAACUGCUUCUUUUGACCCGUUUGUGUAAAAAAGUAGAAGCACUUUUGAGAAUGCUAUCUUCUCUCUCACAGCUUCUGUUUAUUUUCCAAACACUUUAUUAACUUAUUUAAUUCUCACUUCUACUCCAUUUCUUUACUAUAAGCAAGAAAUUACAAUUUUUAAGCUAACUCAAACAGGCCCAUCAUUUUCUCUGGUGUAAACUUGACCGGUCUAGCUCGAGUAUAGUCGACCCAAAUUAUUUAUUGUGCUAGCUAUGCUAACACCGACUCUAUAACUAACAAUCCCUGUGGCGGGACGUGACAUCGAUAAAAGUUAGUAAUUAAAUAUUUAUAUAAAAGAAAUUAAAAUUAUAUUAUAAAAAUAUUUUAUAUGAUCUUUAAAAUAUGUGUGUAAAAAAGACAGUAAAUAAAUCAAAGGAACGGAAGGAGUACUAACUACAACUACGGCUAGGGCCCCGGAUGAGACCAUCAGGGUUGCUCUUACCUAAUUAAUAUGCUUCGGCCAAGUGGAAUAGCAGUGAACAAUUAUAGAGAAUAUUCUGAGUGUGCAGAAGAAAGAAACAAGUAUAUGCUGCUUGACUUCUUAUAUUACUGAUUAUUUAAUACGCAAGUAGAGUUAAUAGUUGUUGAUAGAGAUGAUGCAAAAAUUGAUGUUUUGCUUAUGCUGAGUCAUUUCAUCAUUGUUUAUUAGUUAGUUGUAGAAUUAUGAGCUGAUCGGUUGUUAAGCUUUGUUUCUACAUGCUCUUAAUUUGCGAGCUUCAUGCAGUUCAAUUCCUUUAUAUAGGGUUGUUUGGUUUCUGGCAAAGAAUAACAAAUUAAUAUGGCUGAAGCAAUUGUGUCGAUUGUUGUGGGAAGGCUCACUGACUUGUUAAUUGAAAAAGCUCUAAUCCUUCAGGAAGUGAGAGAUGAAAUUGAAGUCGCGGUAGCUGGGCUCGUGCGGAUAAAAACAUUCUUACCAGAUGCUGAUUCAAGGAUGGAUGUAGAAAGAAUCCACAUUUUGCUCCGGGAUGUACGAGAUCUUGCCUAUGAAGCCGAACAUGCUGUUGAAAGUUUUGUUAUUAAAGCCUCAUCCACUAAAAAACCAUUUCAAUGGAUGAACAGAGGCAAGUUUUCAAGGAAGAUGAAAGAUAUACAAAAAAAGAUGUCUAUCUUCUUCGAUUUAUUUUCUGAUUAUAAUAUCAGACCAACUUCUGAAUCAUCAACUUCCUCCAACAGAGAAUCGGGAAAACUAAAGCGAUUUCACUCUUUCACUACUCCUGAACCACAGAUAUUUGUUGGAUUUCAUGAAGAUGUUGAGUGUUUGGUGCGACAUUUGGUGAAUGAAGCUGAUGAUUCAUACCCACUUAUAUCUAUUUGUGGAAUGGGGGGUCUGGGAAAGACCACUCUAGCUCAAAAGAUAUACAAUCACUCUGCCAUCAAGACUCACUUUGCAGCUGGUUUAGCAUGGGUAACAAUCUCGCGGAAGUGGCAAACAGAUCGUGUGUUGCAGAGAAUUCUCAUAUGUCUCGUCCCUGGGAACAAAGAUUCUAUCCUUAAUAUGGACACUGACAAGCUAGUGGAGUAUAUGCUACAAAUCCAGGGAAGGAAAAAAUGUUUGAUAGUUCUCGAUGAUAUAUGGUCAACUGAUGCUUGGGAUGCAUUAAAAGCUGCAUUUCCAGCCGGGAAGUCCAUGAGCAAAUUAAUGCUUACAAGUCGUAAUGCUGAGGUUGCUGAGCAUGUAAAUUUAGACGGAUUCAUUCACAAGCCAGAAUGUCUAAGUCCCGAACAAAGUUGGGAGCUACUCAGGUUGAAAGCACUUCACACAGGAAAUUGUCUAGGUACAUAAUUUUACUUGCGGUAAUCAUGGUUCAUAUACUUUUUUUAUACCAUAUAUUUUGUCCGACAACCUUAACGAACCAUAUUUUUGGUUAUCGGAGUUUGAUAAGUUUGGUUAGAGAUCUUUCCGACAUCCUUAAAGAACAUUGUUCUGUUCAAUAACGUUUUGUUCGUGUUCGUUUGAAUUCGUUAGUUCGUUUACAAACCUGUGUAUUAGAAUUGUAAACGGAUCUAACAGUUCAUUAAGUGCUCUCUUGAGGUUGAGUUAAAAAACUCGAGCUCGAAACACAUAUUUUGUUUAACAACCUUAACAAACUCUAGAAGGUUUAGUAAUUUUUCUCGUGUUGACUCGAAGUUUAUUGGAGUUAAGGUCAUAGAGGGCUCUAACUUGAACCUGUCUUUUAAACAUUUGCAUUACUUAAACGACUAAAUUAGAAAUUAUCUUGGCUUAUGAGUGUAUUCCUAUAUAUACACACACAUUUGAUUCCUGUUUCUUGUUUGUUGCAGACAUUACCAGAGAUGUAAAAAGGAUGGAAGAACUGGGAAGGGAAAUGGUUGAACAUUGUGCUGGUCUUCCGCUAGCUAUAGUCGUUUUGGGUGGAAUUCUUGUAACAAAACCGUCGUUGAGAGAGUGGGAGAAGGUAUAUCGUGAUAGUAAAUCAUCCCUGAAGGCAGGUAAAGGACUGGAUAAAGACUAUCAAAGGGAAAUAUUAAGUUUUUUAAUAUGGAGCUACAAUGAUUUACCGCCUCAGCUGAAGCCAUGCUUUCUAUAUUUAUCUAAGUUUAGUGAAGAUGAAUCGAUAGACAUAGAGACUUUGUAUCAGCUAUGGAUCGCAGAAGGAAUGAUACUCUCGAGUGACAAAAGAGAAGGAGAAACAAUGAUACAAGUGGCCGAAUCAUACAUGGGAGAACUGGUCCAAAGGAGUAUGGUUCAAGUGAGAUUUAACAAUGUGGAAUCAUCACUUACAAAGUUUGAAGAUUGUUCUCUGCACGACCUUAUGAGAGACAUGUCUUUAUUACAAGCCAAAGCAGAAGAUUUUUUUGAAGAAAUACAUUUCCAAAGUGGAAAUGAGUUUCAUCUCAAAUCUACUACAGAGUCAAGGUCAGCUUCCACUCGAGUUGUAAUUCAUUUGGGUGAGGAAUAUUCUAGCAAAAAAGCUAAUUACUACUUUUCCAAGAAACGCAAUGAAAAAUGCUAUCGAUCAAUUUUACUCCUCGGUGAGUUUGGAACAAGAAGUUUGCCAUGGGCGUUGGGUUCACAUGUUGCCAAUUUUAGGUUCCUAAAAGUCUUUUCUGUGGAGAACUAUACCAAUUUUUCUGGUGCAUUUUCUCAUAUUAAUUUUGGAAGAGCAGUAGGGUCCCUUGUUUACUUGCGAUAUCUCAGUUUAAGGGACACUAAUUUGUUGAUUUUUCCAUCUCUACAAAAGUUGGUGCUAUUACAAACUCUAAAAUUGGAUAUAUCCGACAAGAUAUAUGUUUUACCAUGGCUGUCAAGAGAUGUUCUGGUGAAGAUGGAUUGUUUGCGGCAUCUGUAUUUGCCGAAAUUUAAAGUUGACGUUUUGGGAAGGAAAUCGAAAUUACGGUUUAAUAGGUUGAGCAAGUUAGAGACCCUGGAGAACUUUGACACUAGUUGGUG
rnacentral:lncRNA from 1 species